rnacentral:rRNA from 1 species
UAAGCGUGCGCAGGCGGUUAUGUAAGACAGUUGUGAAAUCCCCGGGCUCAACCUGGGAACUGCAUCUGUGACUGCAUAGCUAGAGUACGGUAGAGGGGGAUGGAAUUCCGCGUGUAGCAGUGAAAUGCGUAGAUAUGCGGAGGAACACCGAUGGCGAAGGCAAUCCCCUGGACCUGUACUGACGCUCAUGCACGAAAGCGUGGGGAGCAAACAGGAUUAGAUACCCCUGU